UUCCUAACAUGUUAGGGGUCUAAAUCUAUGUUUUUUUGCACGACGAAUCGAUUGGCAAGGUUCUUAAAGCUCUAAAACACUUAUUUUUUGCAAACCCUUCAGGUGCUGAAGGAUUGUAUCAAAACCAUACAAUAGCAUAUUAAGCCCUAUCGAUAGCCAUAAACCGCAUCUUGAAAAUUGCAACGUGAAAAUUUGCAAUAAAAUACAAAACGAAUUACCAAAUUUGUAAUUGUAGUGGUGUAGCCAAAAUUACCGAUUUUUGCCAAUAUUUCUACAAAUAUACAUUUUAGAGCACAUAAUGAUUCAUAAGUCUUAGAUAAAUGUGCUCAUUGCGAAUAAUUGUCAAUAUCGGACCUGUCGUACAAAAAAACAUGGGUUUAGAUACCAAACAUUUCAGGAAAUCGAUUUUGAACAAUUUUAUUAAUCGCGACUGAAAAAUUUGGCGCGUAAAAUACUAUUUCUUCAGUUUUUGCAAAAAAAAAGUUUUUUAGAACUUUAAGAACCUUGCCAAUCGAUUCGUCGUGCAAAAAAAACAUAGAUUUAGACCCCUAACAUGUUAGGAAUGACAUUAUAUAUAUAUUUCUCUCAAAUUGUGCCUGGACAUUUUGGUACUAAAAAUGGGCGUGCCCAAAUGGGCGAUUUUCCCAGACUGAAUUUUAGAGCUCCGAAGUUUUUUCGGUUCUUAAGACCUUUGAGAGCUCGCAAAAUCAGCCCUCUACUAUGAAAUGCAGGUAAAUUGCCAUAACUGACCGGACUAGAACACAUCUACUGAAAAAGCAUGCUUGGAACGUUUUGACUUGAAUAUCUGGCAAUCUUCUAAGAUAUUCAGUCAGAUAUUCAAGUCAAAAUGUUAAAAAAUAUUUUCUUACUCUUUUAUUGUGUUGUCCUCGUAUCUCAAUAAAGUUGUAUUAUUUAGCAAACAAA